rnacentral:rRNA from 1 species
ACGGAAGGCAGCAGUGAGGAAUAUUGGUCAAUGGACGCAAGUCUGAACCAGCCAUGCCGCGUGCAGGAAUAAGGCCCUAUGGGUCGUAAACUGCUUUUGUGGUGGAGCAAUAAGUCGUACGUGUACGGCGAUGAGAGUACAUCACGAAUAAGCAUCGGCUAACUCCGUGCCAGCAGCCGCGGUAAUACGGAGGAUGCAAGCGUUAUCCGGAUUUAUUGGGUUUAAAGGGUGCGUAGGCUGUGGUCCAAGUCAGGGGUGAAAGCCCGGAGCUCAACUCCGGAACUGCCUUUGAUACUGGAUUGCUGGAAUACGGAUGCCGUGGGAGGAAUGAGUAGUGUAGCGGUGGAAUGCAUAGAUAUUACUCAGAACACCGAUUGCGAAGGCAUCUCACGAAUCCGUCAUUGACGCUGAGGCACGAAAGCGUGGGGAUCAAACAGGAUUAGAUACCCUGGUA